CAAAGCUCCAGAGAAAACUGUUCCUGAUCCUACGAUUCGAGCUCCACCUGACUGUGAUAUUCCUGGCACUGCGACUUUCCCAGAACCAGAUAUCAGCAAUGAAAUGGAGAAUGAUCCUAAGUCAAAAGGCUGGAGAAGGCUAUUGUGUUGUGGCAAACCACAGAAAAAGCAGGAGAAGAACGAGAAGAAGGGGAAAACUGGAUUUCAGAGCAGAUUACGCCGCUUGUUUAAACGUUGAUAAACUAUUUUAUUAUUCUGUGAUUGUUCAAUUUUAUCAUUUAAGACCCCCGAAGAAAACCUUUUAUACUGAAUCAUAAUAAUACUAUUUCAUAUGGAUUAGAAAAUUAACUUUAU